rnacentral:lncRNA from 1 species
CCAUACUACAGGGGUUUGGAAGAAGGCAGGCUCUAGGAAGUAGCCAGACCUCAAGAGUGGUGGUGGCCAAGGGAUGACCACACAGCACAAGAGGGAAGGAGAAGGACAAUCCCACAUUGACGUCCACAGGAUCACCAUUUCAUUUGCCCUUCUUCACUUUCGGGAACAUCUGGGACAUCGGGUUCUGAGGUCCACUAUUAGGUAACGUGUUUUUCUUUCUUCUUUGGUGGGCAUACUGGGUCUGAUCCUUGGAGCUCCAUCUUCUUUAGAUAUUUGGCCUGGGAACCCGUGGUCCUCAAAGGGCAGACCUUCAAGUAGCCAGAGAAUCUGCUCCAUGUGGGUGUGGUAGACGUCAGAGUAAUGAGCUAAAGCUGCAGAGAGUAAUCACAGCCUUAAAGGAGAGCUCAUUUGUAGAAGAGAACAUGUUCUGGCUGCAAAAAGCAAUGGUUUGUUUUGGCUAACCAUGUUUCUGAAGUAAGGAAUUCAGGUGGUUUUUCUUGACUGCCACAAGAGGUGAGCAUGCCCAAUGCUACUAGAUACUGGAACCUCUAGGGAGAAAAGCCUUUUUUACUAAGCAUCUUGACCUGCCCUGACGGUGAUAAUCAGCACCUCUGUUAUGUAGACUCCACCCCAAUAUGGUGGGAACCAGCACCUCCACUAUUUAGAUCUGUCCCAGUAGGGACACAGUAGGAAUCAUUAUCUACUUUCCUGGCAGUCACUAUUCCCAUCCAUCAGUCAAGUUCAAGGGGAUGACUUCCAUUAACCCCUUUGCCUCAGUUUCUCCUUAUAAAAGGCUAAAAACAGUUCUUAUGUGAACCAUAAAAUCAAAGAAUGGCAGAAUUAGAAGGACCCAAAGAGAUCACCCAGCCCAAUACCUCAUUGUACAAAUGGGAAACCUGAAACCCAGAGAGUGGCACAGUAAAAAGAGCAUGAUCUUUGGAGGCAAAGGACUUGGGUUCAAAUCUUUUAUUUGAUGCUUAUUACCUAAGUGACUUUAGGUAAGUCACUUAAUCUUCAUGGAUCUCAUUAUCUUCAUCUGUAAAAGGAAGGAGUUGGAUUGCCGGCUCUCUGAGGUUCCUUCCAGCUCUAGCUCCCUGAACCUAUGAACUUUCUGAACUGAGACUAAAUGAAGAGAGCAAUGUGGCCAAAGUCACAUGGCAAGCCCCUUGUAUUCUUCCUAGCCCAUGGUCCAGCUCUUCCUUCAACCCACUGGUGUACCUCCUGAUUCUAUGUCCCUGGUCUCCAUCCAUGCAGCUCUAAUCAAGCUUGGCUAAGAGCUUUACUCUGCAACCCCUGGAUCCCAUCUGGGAGCAGGGUGCAAGGGAAGAUGGCACCAAGGCAUAGGACAAUUUUUCUAGGAUAAUAUAACAGCUGCACAACUGUGCCCCUGCUGAUUUCAUCAUGGGCAUGACUGGAAGGGCCGGUAGCUGGUGUUCCUCUCUGUGAAAGUGAUGGUUCCCCUUUCAGGAAACAUCUUUCAGUAUUUUUGUCCUAUCUAUACUGAGGUCAGGGAAGCAAUUUCCUUCCUUCUCCUAUCUCUAGGGACAAGGGGACAGUUCUUUCUUUAGAAGGACCAAAAAUGUGGGAAGAGUCUAAAUUGUACAGGCUUAUAGAGCUGUGUGUCCUGUUCUAUUUCUGAAUAGACCCUCCAAGUCUGGGAGUAAUGGAAAGAACGCUGCAGUUAGAGGCAGAGGGCCCGGGUUCAAAUUCUGCUUGUAUGUCUUUGGGCAAUAAAGUUAGAUUAUAGAACA